rnacentral:rRNA from 1 species
UACGUAGGUCCCGAGCGUUAUCCGGAUUUAUUGGGCGUAAAGCGAGCGCAGGCGGUUGGAUAAGUCUGAAGUUAAAGGCUGUGGCUCAACCAUAGUAUGCUUUGGAAACUGUUCAACUUGAGUGCAGAAGGGGAGAGUGGAAUUCCAUGUGUAGCGGUGGAAUGCGUAGAUAUAUGGAGGAACACCGGUGGCGAAAGCGGCUCUCUGGCCUGUAACUGACACUGAGGCUCGAAAGCGUGGGGAGCAAACAGG